rnacentral:rRNA from 1 species
CCUACGGGUGGCAGCAGUGGGGAAUAUUGCACAAUGGGGGAAACCCUGAUGCAGCAACGCCGCGUGAGUGAAGAAGUAUUUCGAUAUGUAAAGCUCUUUCAGCAGGGAAGAAGAUGACGGUACCUGAGUAAUAAGCCCCGGCUAACUCCGUGCCAGCAGCCGCGGUAAUACGUAGGGGGCAAGCGUUAUUCGGAGUUACUGGGUGUAAAGGGAGCGUAGACGGCAUAGCAAGUCUGAAGUGAAAGCCCAAGGCUCAACCAUGGGACUGCAUUGGAAACUGUUAAGCGAGAGUGCUGGAGAGGUAAGUGGAAUUCCUAGUGGAGGGGUAAAAUGCGUAGAGAUUAGGAAGAACACCCAUGGCGAAGGCGGCUUACUGGACAGUAACUGACGUUGAGGCUCGAAAGCGUGGGGAGCAAACAGGAUUAGAUACCCGGGUAGUC